UUGUUUUUCUUCCGGACAUAUAUCAUCGUGGACAUAUAUCAUCGCGCAUUUAACCGAGAAAAUCUUUCGCCUUUUACUAAGGAUUUCCGUGCACCGGAGCAAUUGUGAGUAUUUGGCAAUUUUUGCAAUCCCUUCGAAGUAU
rnacentral:snRNA from 1 species